GCCGGAGUGGUGGAAUGGUAUACACGCAGUGUUCAGAACGCUGUGUCCAAAAGACUUGCAGGUUCGAGUCCUGUCUCCGGCACCA
rnacentral:tRNA from 1 species